CAGACUGUAACUGCCAGAGCAGCGCUU
rnacentral:piRNA from 1 species